GGCCUGGUGGUCUAGAGGUAUGAUUCCUUCUUAGGGCUGAGUGAUUUACUCAGUGAUGGAGGAGGUCCCGGGUUCAAUUCCCGGCUAGGCCC